GUCCACGCCGUAAACGAUGCUAACUCGUUUUGGAUUUUCGGAUUCAGAGACCAAGCGAAAGUGAUAAGUUAGCCACCUGGGGAGUACGUCCGCAAGGAUGAAACUCAAAGGAAUUGACGGGGCCCGCACAAGCGGUGGAUUAUGUGGUUUAAUUCGAUGAUACGCGAGGAACCUUACCAAGACUUAAAUGGGAAUUGACAGGUUUAGAAAUAGACCCUUCUUCGGACAAUUUUCAAGGUGCUGCAUGGUUGUCGU
rnacentral:rRNA from 1 species